rnacentral:rRNA from 1 species
CCUACGGGAGGCAGCAGUGGGGAAUAUUGCACAAUGGGGGGAACCCUGAUGCAGCGACGCCGCGUGGGUGAAGGAGUAUUUCGGUAUGUAAAGCCCUAUCGGCAGGGAAGCACAAUGCCGGUACCUGACUAAGACGCACCGGCUAAAUACGUGCCAGCAGCCGCGGUAAUACGUAGGGUGCACGCGUUAUCCGGAUUUACUGGGGGUAAAGGGAGCGCAGGCGGCGAUGCAAGCCAGGAGUGAAAGCCCGGGGCCCAACCCCGGGACUGCUCUUGGAACUGCGUGGCUGGAGUGCAGGAGGGGCAGGCGGAAUUCCUGGUGUAGCGGUGAAAUGCGUAGAUAUCAGGAGGAACACCGGUGGCGAAGGCGGCCUGCUGGACUGCAACUGACGUUGAGGCCCGAAAGCGUGGGGAGCAAACAGGAUUAGAUACCCGUGUAGUC